UACCCUUGACAUCCUCGGAACCCGCUAGAGAUAGUGGGGUGCCUUCGGGAACCGAGAGAC
rnacentral:rRNA from 1 species